rnacentral:lncRNA from 1 species
AAAGUGUAACCUAUUGCCUCUUUAUUUCACAUAAAUAACUGAGCGCAUUCAACUCCUUUUGGUUUUCUAUUUAUGUAUCUAUUGAUUUCCUACCUACUCGCAUUCUCUUUAUCGAUCUUUUGUAUAUGAAAGGAAAAAUCUUUAUUCACUGUCUUAUUUAGGACAUUCUCAGUCUUGGAUCUCUUCUGCUAAGAUCUCCAGUGUCAUCCUCUGUAAG